AUGAACGCUAGCGGGAGGCCUAACCCAUGCAAGCCGAGCGGUAUUUGUUCUUCGGAACAGAGAGAGCGGCGCACGGGUGCGGAACACGUGUGCAACCUGCCUUUAUCUGGGGGAUAGCCUUUCGAAAGGAAGAUUAAUACCCCAUAAUAUAUUGAGUGGCAUCACUUGAUAUUGAAAACUCCGGUGGAUAGAGAUGGGCACGCGCAAGAUUAGAUAGUUGGUGAGGUAACGGCUCACCAAGUCAAUGAUCUUUAGGGGGCCUGAGAGGGUGAUCCCCCACACUGGUACUGAGACACGGACCAGACUCCUACGGGAGGCAGCAGUGAGGAAUAUUGGACAAUGGGUUAGCGCCUGAUCCAGCCAUCCCGCGUGAAGGACGACGGCCCUAUGGGUUGUAAACUUCUUUUGUAUAGGGAUAAACCUACUCUCGUGAGAGUAGCUGAAGGUACUAUACGAAUAAGCACCGGCUAACUCCGUG
rnacentral:rRNA from 1 species